UACGAAGGGUGCAAGCGUUACUCGGAAUUACUGGGCGUAAAGCGUGCGUAGGUGGUUGUUUAAGUCUGUUGUGAAAGCCCUGGGCUCAACCUGGGAAUUGCAGUGGAUACUGGGCGACUAGAGUGUGGUAGAGGGUAGUGGAAUUCCCGGUGUAGCAGUGGAAUGCGUAGAGAUCGGGAGGAACAUCCAUGGCGAAGGCAGCUACCUGGACCAACACUGACACUGAGGCACGAAAGCGUGGGGAGCAAACAGG
rnacentral:rRNA from 1 species